GACGAACGCUGGCGGCGUGCUUAACACAUGCAAGUCGAACGCUGAAGCUCAGCUUUUGUUGGGUGGAUGAGUGGCGAACGGGUGAGUAACACGUGAGUAACCUGCCUCCUUCUUUGGGAUAACGCCCGGAAACGGGUGCUAAUACUGGAUAUUCACUGGUCUUCGCAUGGGGGUUGGUGGAAAGGGUUUUUCUGGUGGGGGAUGGGCUCGCGGCCUAUCAGCUUGUUGGUGGGGUGAUGGCCUACCAAGGCUUUGACGGGUAGCCGGCCUGAGAGGGUGACCGGUCACAUUGGGACUGAGAUACGGCCCAGACUCCUACGGGAGGCAGCAGUGGGGAAUAUUGCACAAUGGGCGCAAGCCUGAUGCAGCGACGCCGCGUGAGGGAUGGAGGCCUUGGGGUUGUGAACCUCUUUCGGUCAUGGUCAAGCCGCAACAAUGGUUGUGGUGAGGGUAGUGGGUAAAGAAGCGCCGGCUAACUACGUG
rnacentral:rRNA from 1 species